AAGAGUUCCAGCUUCAUCACGGAGUUUCUCUCGGUUUGUGGGCUCAUCUAAAGUUUAUUGUCAACACGUUGAGAGAAGAGUGAGAGAGUGUUUGGAGAAAAACACCAGCUAAUCAUUAGCUCAGCAUGCUGGGAGAAGUUGAGCGUUUGCUGGCAGAAAGUUGGAGCAGAAAUGUCUUUUCAUUGUCCCUGCAGCUGUUUUUCUGCCUGCACCAAACCUCUACAGCCUCAUUUCUACUUGAAGUGAUAACAGGAAAUGGAUGAGAGCGAUCUGCUGCAGUAUCAGGGUCACAAUAAACUUUAUUGUCCAGCUGCUGUGGAUGAACACAUGAGAGGAAGUGAACUCCUACAAAGUCUCAUUUUAAUGAGUCUGGCUGCUGUAAAGUGAUGCACAGGAAGAUGUUAACAAAAACUAAUGAAACAGAUGAAAGUAAACAGUGUUCAUAUUUGAAAGCACAGAGAAUAAAAAUAUGUUGUGCUGGUUAAUGUGCAGGAGAGUGUGAAGAGUGUAAUAAUGUCUUCCUGUGUCAAACACAGCUGCAGUCAAAGCAGGAAGGAAAGGACUGAAACCACUGAUCAAUGACCAUCAGUACUGUGGGAAAUAUAAAUGUUGCAAUAUUAAAUAAGUGCCAUAUUAAUCAAGAGGUGAUAGAGGGUUUAAACUGGGAGACAUUUAAAUUAGUGUUUUGCUUGUAACUGCAUACUUGCCUGCGCAGAUUAGAACAGGAUGUGUCAUAUACGAUCAUGGGGCCUCACAACGAGAAACAGGAAACAGAUGGGGGUGAGAGAGUGUUGAAACCGUUAGUGAGGAACAAACAUCAAUACUAUAAAAGUAGUUGCAGACAACUGUCACUCACCGUCACUGGCGCAUGUUAUGUUAUCUGCUUACGCAUGAAGGGGCGUGAACCCUGACAUAUAAAACUGUGUAUCGAAGUGCUUCCUCUUUGAGAUCUACUGGACUACGCUGAGGGUGGUGUCGUGUACAUCUCCCACAUAUGUGCUUAAUAAAUAAUUGUUGUUGACUGGA